UUUCUUUAGGAACUGGAAACUCAGAGAGCUGCUUGUAAUUUCAAAGCUACCGAGGCAAAGGUGUUAAGUAAGGCCCCGUUUGUUCCUAAACCGUCGGAGAAACCUUUAGCAGAGAUCUCAAAUUUUACUCUGCAUACAGAUAGGAGAGCUGAGGAGAGGGGACAGUUUGAAAUGGAGAAAAAAAAGAAAGAAGUUGAUCUAGAGGAGGCGAAGAGGAACAGAGAGGAGAGGAAGAAACGAGAAGAGGAAGAAGAGAUUGCCCGACUUAGAAAACAGGCUGUUCACAAAGCUCAGCCCAUCCGAGGAUAUAAACCUGUGGAGAUCCGGCCCUCUGACCGACCUCUCACCCUACCUGUGUCUCCUCGCCUGUCGGUCAGGAGUAAGAAUAAUUCAACCUUCAACCGAACAUCUCAAAGUCAGGACUGAGUCUAGCGUAGAGACAGAUUUGGAGAUAUUUUUACGUUUUUAUAACUUUCAACGAUAUACAUUUAUUUAUCUGCUGUGCACUGAACACUUUACAUCACUGUCUUGUAAAAAGUAUUAGUAAAAGUAUAUUUUUCUUACUCGUCUUUAAACUGUUAUCUAACAUUUUUCCAAACCCUUGCUUUGGUUUUGGUAACUGUUAGAGACAGGGUUUAUAUUUUCUAUUUUCAUUAUCCUUGUUAAAUAAAUAUUAAGAUUUAUUGUGGAGUGAGGCAGAAAAUAUACAACCCUGAUAUUUGUAUGAUGACAAUUUAUAAAUUUUAUUGUGAUAACUGAUUAAGAAACAAUGACUAGUAAAUCUUCUCUACUAACAUUAGAUUGUAAAGUAAAGAGGUAUUGAAUAAAAUUAUUUCAAUA